UUUGAAUUGAUGACGCCAAUUGAGGUGAGGUCAUGUUACUGAUAUUGUGUUCCCUUUUAACUUCUUCAUAGUUGUGGCUAAUGGGUUAAAAAAGACUUGGAAUCACUGUCAUAUGUGUUUCACUCUGGUUAUUAUGCACAAUUGUGUUAGGCCUAUCUAAAUUCAAGUUUCUUGUUAUUUAGAUUUUCUCUCCCAGUCUGUUGAUUAAUGGGGCAGAUCUUAUUCAAGUCUACUGAAUGAACCUGCCACAUUUUGCUCAAUGUUAAAAUCCAUGUUUUAUCUCAUGCAAGUAACCAUCGCCCUUGAAUUUCAUAUUGUUGAGUUGUUUGCAUAGCAUUGUUUUGAUUGUCAAACAUUGUCAUUUUCAUGUACUUUGUAUGGCAGCUCUAUCCCUUAAUUGAGAAAUUGCUGUGGGUGUUUUCACUGUUCUACCCGUUGCUCUUUCAGUAUGUCCUAAUAGUGGGAGGACGCCUAUGUGUUGGAGAAAACAUCAUGCUUCUUUUCUCCUUGUUUCUUCUCCUUUCCAUAUUAUCUUUUUUCAAAUCCUUUGCUGAAAUUAAUUAAACCUUUAAACAUUUGAGAAAAAAACCAGAUUAUAUCAUUGUUCUUUUAUUUGGUUCAGAGAGA
rnacentral:misc_RNA from 1 species